AUGGCAUGUGCAAAGCUGUGUAGUGACGAGGUCUUUAUGACAUGCUUCUGCUGUCUGCAAGCCCGAUCCUCUUACGUGGGCUCCGUAGGACAGCAAAACCGUGCGUUCCCAAGGAGCCCAUGGCCCUGCGGAGUGGACUGUUGGUUUAAUCCUCCACAUACAGGAGUUUUCUGUGCGCUGAAUGGCAAACCCAUGGUGAAUGGGCGGCAGAGCAAUCUAAACAAGAAUGGAUGCUCGUCUGUAUCUACUAAAGCCAAUGCUCUGGGUCAGCGCCCUGCUGACCCAAUCUCAAUUCCAUCUCUGCCCUGUGGGGUUGGGCAGCUGCAUGGCUCAGUGGAUGGAUGCAGAGCUGAGUGCAAACCCAGCUUCAGACACUUAUUAGCUGGGGGAACCUGGGCAAGUCACUCAACCUUUAUUUGCCACUGGAGAAGCAACUGGCAAAGCGCUCCCGGAUCUUUGCACGGUCCAGUCCACCGGGUCAUGAAUCGCUGGGCACGACUGAAUAGUAGCAAGCACUGGAUUUUGCCUGGAUUUCUGAUUAGCGAUGGAGGCUUCAGGAUCCAGUGGCAGGACCAAAAUCAAGGACAAAAAAGGGAAUUAUGUCUGAAACCAUGACCUUCACUCAAGUUUGUGCUCUACAACAUUUUUCGAACAGUUCAUAUGAAGUGUAAUAUGAUCCUUCUUCCAGACCCAUUUCAAAAUGCCUUUCAAAACUUGUGGAUCAUCAUAGUAUUUAGACUUGCACCUCCCCAGCUUUACUGUGAAGACAUCGUCUAUACAGGUGAAAAGAUAUGGUAGCAAUACGACGACGUUUUGAGCCUUGCUGACAUUAUAGCGUAUAGCCUUCCUGCAAAGGAGGCUGAGACUGGCUCAUCUCUUGAGUGUGCAGUAGUUGAGCUCCCGCUAGCUAAGCCAGUUAGAAGUCCUCACGAAUAGGGUUGUCUAAGGAGGGGCAAAUUGAUUCAGGUUGGAAAGCUUCCAUGUUGAUUAGGGUGGGUUUGGCUCAUGAGUAACCUCUGCAAUUCCAACCUGGCCAAGAUGGGAAGACCUAGCUUUAAAAACAAAGGUUUAAAACUUGUUUGAGAUGUAUAUGCUUUUCACAAAAGAUAGAGACCAGUCUUUAUUUUGGUGGGAGAUGUUUCUACCUUGCCUGGAAACCAUGAAUACCUGGUGUUGUUUCCCUUUGGCAGAGAGAAGGCAGCUGGAUUAUUUUGG
rnacentral:lncRNA from 1 species